rnacentral:rRNA from 1 species
AGUGAACCCUGGCGGUAGGCCUAACACAUGCCAGUCGAACGGCAGCACAGUAAGAGCUUGCUCUUACGGGUGGCGAGUGGCGGACGGGUGAGGAAUACAUCGGAAUCUACUUUUUCGUGGGGGAUAACGUAGGGAAACUUACGCUAAUACCGCAUACGACCUACGGGUGAAAGCAGGGGAUCUUCGGACCUUGCGCGAUUGAAUGAGCCGAUGUCGGAUUAGCUAGUUGGCGGGGUAAAGGCCCACCAAGGCGACGAUCCGUAGCUGGUCUGAGAGGAUGAUCAGCCACACUGGAACUGAGACACGGUCCAGACUCCUACGGGAGGCAGCAGUGGGGAAUAUUGGACAAUGGGCGCAAGCCUGAUCCAGCCAUACCGCGUGGGUGAAGAAGGCCUUCGGGUUGUAAAGCCCUUUUGUUGGGAAAGAAAAGCAGCAGGUUAAUACCCCGCUGUUCUGACGGUACCCAAAGAAUAAGCACCGGCUAACUUCGUG